UUAGCGGAAGCUUACUUCUCCCUUGUGCCACGGCUUCCUGGAGAUCAGAUACAUCUUCUGAGGGUUCUGCUCCAGUGUUGAUAUGGGGGUCUAGACCCAUUUUGUCCUGUGGUUCCCAUGUUUCCUAUGGCUUUUCUGAUGUUCUCCACUGGGGCUUCAGCUUUCUUCACUGAUGAGCAAAGCUAUAGAAUGUGGAUGAUUGUGGGAUAUUUUACCUGGCUUGGAAGUGGCAAUCAUCAUUUAUUUUCAUAUUCCUUUGGACAGAACCUGGUCACAUCGUCCCACCCUAACUGCAAGGGAAUCUAGGAAAUGUAGAUUUCCUGUAUUCCCAUGAGGGGAAAAAGGGACUGGCGAGCAUUUAGUUAGCUUCUGCUGCAUGACUUUCGUUGAUGUGAAAUUAAAGAAGGGUGUUGUAUGUAAGCAAUGAAUCACAGGAAUCUACUCCCCAAAACCAAGAGCACACUGUGUAUACUGUAUGGUAGCCAACUUGACAAUAAAUUAUAUUGAAAAAAUAAAAAUAAUAAAAAAUAAAAAAAAUAAGAAAGAGUUUUUGUAUUGGGUAAGGCUUUAUAGGGUGGGUUGCAACAAGGGAAGUUUGGAGACCUUGCCACUGGAUCAAGGCAAAAGCCCUUUGUACUUUAAAAUGUGAAUGUGCACAUUAACAUGCACAGCAGAGUGAGGACCUCUUUGAGUAGGAUGCCCCCUGAUCCACUGGGUAGGCAAAACUCGUUUUCUGCUUCCUAGGGUCAAGAUGCUGAGGAAGUGGUGGUAACCUUAUGCUUUCUAGAUGUUCUCAUAACAUCAAGACCCUUCCUGAUAAACUCCAGGGAACAUUGAAACCCCUUUUCUCUGGCUAAUCUAAUUCAACUUGAUGUUAAUUGUUAUUGCUUAUCUCUUCUCUAGAAUUUCCCCUUAAUGUGAGUCUGUCUGGAUCAUCCAAAUGGUUCUUGCCUUGCCCUCGUUCAAUGAUUCAUCCAUCAAACAGCUAUUGGGCAUCUACUGUGCAAAGACAGUAAGAAUAGUUUUUGGUUAUAUCUUCAGAUAGUAAGAUAGCUUUACAAAGGGGUAGAAACUUUCAGUUCAAGAAAUAAUCUAUUCAAUAAUAGUGAUUUGUAAAGGUACAACACAGUGUCCUAUAGGAAUAAUUAUGCUAUAUGGCUGCUAGCGUCUCAUUUGAGUUAUUAGCUCCAUGAGAGGGUGGGCAAAUAUGGCAGAGUGUUGACUAACUUUGAGAAGAAAAACUUGAGACUGCCCUCACAGAGGUUUCAAAUGCCAAUUGGGCUAUAUAACGUAUGGCUGGGUACUAUUUUGGUCAAGGCUGGAUUGUCUUGGCCUUUCAUAUUUCUAUUCCUUUGUUUCUCAACCUCAGUCAACGAGAAGCUGGACUGGAUAAUCACUAUAGUUCUUUGAGUUGGUCAUUUGUUUUUUCUGCCAUCUAGCACACUUAAGGAGCAGCUUUCCUUACUUCUUCCCUGCCCUGGUGUGAGCCCAAGAAAAAGGAAAAGCAAUUUAAUUUUAAUGUUAUCUGAAGUCAGACAUAAUUAGGAAGACAAAUCUACCGGAAAAAAAAAUCUGCAUUCCAAAGCCAAAUACUGUGGUGUUGGCAGUCAGAUCAAGCACCAACCUCAUGCAUUAACUGUGCUCUAUGAGGCUUUCACUGAAGGUAAUAGUUAUGUUUCAAGAGGGCAUGAUGUGACCCAUGGUAUUUCCAAAUUCUCAAGAGUAACAAGCCAUGAAAAAAUAGGAUUUAUUUGUAUGCAUGAGUUCUAAAAAUCAUCCUUUGAUUUUUCAUGGUACGAAGAGUAUCAGGCUGAGGCAAUGUUAUCAGCGGGCCAUCUAGGUUGUUCAAAAUACCGAUUUGUGAGCCCCAUCCCACACUUUAUUAAGUCCAAAUUUCUGAGAUAGAACCUUAUAAUCUGAAUUUCUAACCAACUCCCCAGUUUGAGAGUUCAUUAAAAGUUUGGUGACCAUUAAACAAGUAGUCAAAUCACAGAACUGUCCUCAUCUACAGAAGGAGAAUAUUAACACUCUGCUGUCACACAGCGCUGUUGUACAGGUUAAAAGGAAAUCAUGCACCUGCAGCCCUCUGCCAAAUGCAAAUUCCCCUGCAAAUAUAGGCUUAUGUUUUUAUCCUCAGGGGUAAAAGUUGAGACAACUGACCAUCGUUUGCUUUUGUAUUUUCCACUUCCUUCCCCUUGGGAGUUUAGGCACAGAGAGUAUCAGAAUGUGAUGGAUUUAUUCUGGACCCCUUGCUUUAGUUGAGUUUAUGUCAACUGCAGUAGCUCCAAAGUGCAUGUGAAGUUAAGUAUAAGCAAAGUUCCAUUUGUGCACUUUACGAUUUUAAAGGGGACAAGCACAACGUUCUGUUGAUCAGGGACACAAACAAAGCUAUUAGCUCUAGGUCUAGGGAAAGGGAAAAAAAUCACUUUUCAUAUUGUGCAACCAACCCUAAAUCAGGUCAAUCUCUCCUUCAUUGCUGGCUAAUAUCCAAGUCACAGUGAAAAGCUGAUGUUUUUGUUUAGAAUGGAUUUUUGCAGUGUUUAUAAACCAAGACUCCUUGAAAUUUUCAUUAGGAGGAUCAUACAGUUCACCUCUUGUCCUGCCCUUUAUCCUUUCUCCUGGAAUAGUUGAGUGAUUUUGAAAAUUCUCACUAGUUUAAUUGAUUAGUAAGGAGAGUUAUUUUUGAAAGUCACCUUCUGCAGAGCAGAACUGAGAUUGACAUACAGUCAAGAUUCUACGACCUUGGUUUAUGCAGCAUAGGGAGUGAUGAGAAUGUGACCUUCAUUACAGCUUUGAAUAUGUGAGGAAGGGAAGGGAAGGGAACUGUCACAUGUGAAUUCAUUGCCAGCCCUUUGCUUGGCACAUAAGUCCUGUUAUGUCAUUGAAUACUAAUGAGUUAUAAUCCUAUGACAUAGGUAUAUCCACAAGUGAGGAAACUGAGGCGCAAAGUGGUUAACUUCCUGGUUGAUGGUGGAGCUAGGAUGAUUUCUGUGUGACAAACCACCCUAAAACUUGAUGGCUUACAAAGAUAGCCAUCUAGUAAUGCUCACAAGUCUAUGGCCAGUAUUAGUUGUCAGGGCAGCUGGAUAGUCCUGCUGAUCUGAGUCAGGUUCAGCUAAAUGGGGUUGAGUGUGCUUAUGCAUUUGCAGCCAGUUGGCCAGUUGGCUGAUGUGUGUGUGUGUGUGUGUGUGUGUGUGUGUGUGUGUAUCUGUGUCUGGUUCAGGAUGGCCUCUUGUGUGUCUGGCAGUUGGUUAACUGUUGGUUAGAGUACGAAGGUAUGGAAGACUGUAUGUUCCAAAGAUGGCCACUGCAAUAUAUCCUGUGUUAUAUGUCCUUUUUAUAGUGGGAUAUCAUGGUUUUCUCCUUUAUCCUUUUCCCUUGAAUCUGGGAAGAGCUUUGUGACAACUUUGACCAAUAGAAUAGGUCAAAAGUAAUGCUGGGCCAAUUUCUAGGUUUAGGUUUGAGAAACUGACAGCUUCCAUUUUCUUCCUUUCAUGACUUUACUCUUGGAGCCCACCUACAAUGCUGUGAGGAAGUCCAGCAGCCACAAGGACUGUCCAGCCCACAGUCCCAGCCGAGAUCCCAGCCGGCAGCCAGUAUCAACCGGAAGACAGUCCACGAAUAUCCACGGGAAAGAUACGAAUUCCAUUUUAUUGAUGAAGAAAUUGAGGCUGAGAAAGCGUGUGACUUAACCACUAUGGUAGAUCCGGAACAUGCAGCCAAGCCUGUUUUCCCAAGUCCAAUGUUCCCUCUGUCCCAGUACCUUAUCCUUCUUUGGGCAAGAACAGCCAAGAAAUGAGGAUCCACCUCCUGAUGAAUCAUCGAAAGGUCAAUAGUAGCCUAACUUUACAUCACAAUGCUGCGUCAUUCACCUCACUUCCCUCGGCAUUUUCUCGGCUUGUGUCGUCACAAGGAGGGAGCCUGCACACAUGUUGAUGGAGUGGCUGUGUUGCACAGAGGUUACUAACAUGAGCUUUGAACUCAAACAGAUCUGUUUGAAGUCCCGGUUCCAUCAGUUGGUACGUGUGUGAUGUUAGACAUGUCCACUAUCUUUUCCAAGCCUCAACACACUUAUCUAUGAAAUGGUGGUCAUAUUAAUUCCUAUUUGGAGAGGUUGCUGAUAGAAAUAAAUGAUUUGAUGCAUAUUAAGUGUUUGUAAUGCCUGGAGCAUCAUAAAUUUAUGUUAUCUGGUUUCAUUUAAUCUUAAGAGCCUGAAGAGUAGGUAUGAUUACGCUGCCAUUCUACAUAGAGAACCCAGUAUUACAGAGUUAGGGGAAUUUGUAUCCUAGACUUUUAGAACAUUAAAUCACUAUGUCCAUACUUACUGCUUUAUAGUGGAAACAGCUGAGGGCAAGAGAAGCCAUGGACUUGGGUCCUCCGACUCCCAGGCGAGGUCUCCUUUGUUACUCAAUGUUUCCCCUCACUUGCUUUACAAUCUCCAUAGCCAUUUACAAGGAAACUCUCUGAACUGUCUGCAAAUGUCUGUCUGACCACUACUGUUAGCAUCGGCCCACCCUUAUUUGAAGGUUGACUGCACAGUUUAUAUUUUCCAGACCAUUUUCAUCUCCUCUCUCUGUGCUCUUUGGGCCUUUCCAUCCUAAUUAACACCUCUACCAGAAAGGAAAUGUAAAAGGAAAUAAAACUUAAGCCACUCAGUUUUGCUCCUUAUUAGCAGCUCUUUUUAAAAGAUUUGGCGGAUGGGGAGGCUGACUUUUAGCUACAGUGGGGAUUUUUGAUUAUAGCAAUGGAUUUAAAUUAGCUGGGCAACCUUUCUUGCUGUUACCAUGGAUAGAUGAGAGUUGAUUGUCUGAGCCCCAGUGGGCCUGUGGCCACAGAGACCCCCGUCAGUCCAGCCAGCAGCUCUGGCCCUUCAGGCUUGCUGCCCUCCCUGCUGCGCCUCCUUUACAGACCCUCCACUAGG